UGAACGCUGGCGGCGUGCCUAAUACAUGCAAGUCGAGCGAACGGAUUAAGAGCUUGCUCUUAAGAAGUUAGCGGCGGACGGGUGAGUAACACGUGGGUAACCUGCCCAUAAGACUGGGAUAACUCCGGGAAACCGGGGCUAAUACCGGAUAACAUCUAGCACCGCAUGGUGCAAGAUUGAAAGGCGGCUUCGGCUGUCACUUAUGGAUGGACCCGCGUCGCAUUAGCUAGUUGGUGAGGUAACGGCUCACCAAGGCGACGAUGCGUAGCCGACCUGAGAGGGUGAUCGGCCACACUGGGACUGAGACACGGCCCAGACUCCUACGGGAGGCAGCAGUAGGGAAUCUUCCGCAAUGGACGAAAGUCUGACGGAGCAACGCCGCGUGGCGAUGAAGGCCUUCGGGUCGUAAAGCUCUGUUGUUAGGGAAGAACAAGUGUGAGUUGAAUAAGCUCAUGCCUUGACGGUACCUAACCAGAAAGCCACGGCUAACUACGUG
rnacentral:rRNA from 1 species